GAUUUGAGCGCUGUCUCAACAAUGCACCCGGUGAAAUUGAAAUACCAGUGAAGAUGCUGGUUACCUGCGCCAGGACGGAAAGACCCCAUGGAGCUUUACUCCAGUUUGAUACUGGGAUUCGGUAUUGCAUGUACAGGAUAGGUGGGAGGCUGAGAAGCAUGGACGCCAGUCUGUGUGGAGCCAAUGUUGGGAUACCACCCUUGCGAUAUUGGGUUUCUAACCUGCGCCCGUGAGCCGGGCGGGGGACAAUGUCAGGCGGGGAGUUUGACUGGGGCGGUCGCCUCCGAAAGGGUAUCGGAGGCGCUCAAAGGUUCCCUCAGGAUGGUUGGAAACCAUCCAGAGAGUGCAAAGGCAUAAGGGAGCUUGACUGCGAGACCGACGGGUCGGGCAGGUACGAAAGUAGGACUUAGUGAUCCGGUGGUAUGAAAGUGGGAUUGCCAUCGCUCAACGGAUAAAAGCUACCCUGGGGAUAACAGGCUUAUCACUCCCAAGAGUUCACAUCGACGGAGUGGUUUGGCACCUCGAUGUCGGCUCAUCGCAUCCUGGGGCUGUAGCAGGUCCCAAGGGUUGGGCUGUUCGCCCAUUAAAGCGGUACGCGAGCUGGGUUCAGAACGUCGUGAGACAGUUCGGUCCCUAUCCGGCGCGGGCGCAGGAUAUCUGAGAGGAGCUGUCCUUAGUACGAGAGGACCGGGAUGGACAGACCGCUGGUGUACCUGUUGGCCUACCAAGGCCAUGGCAGGGUAGCCAAGUCUGGACGGGAUAAACGCUGAAGGCAUCUAAGCGUGAAGCCCCCCUCAAGAUGAGAUAUCCCAUCGCGAAAGCGAGUAAGACCCCUUGAAGACGACGAGGUAGAUAGGUUAGAGGUGGAAGUGCAGUAAUGUACGUAGCUGACUAAUACUAAUCGGUCGAGGGCUUAUCCAA
rnacentral:rRNA from 1 species